CCUACGGGUGGCAGCAGUGAGGAAUAUUGGUCAAUGGGCGCGAGCCUGAACCAGCCAAGUCGCGUGAGGGAAGACGGUCCUAUGGAUUGUAAACCUCUUUUGUCGGGGAGCAAAAGACGCCACGCGUGGCGUUCCGAGAGUACCCGAAGAAAAAGCAUCGGCUAACGCCGUGCCAGCAGCCGCGGUAAUACGGAGGAUGCGAGCGUUAUCCGGAUUUAUUGGGUUUAAAGGGUGCGCAGGCGGAAGAUUAAGUCAGCGGUAAAAUUGAGGGGCUCAACCUCUUCGAGCCGUUGAAACUGGUGUUCUUGAGUGGGAGAGAAGUAUGCGGAAUGCGUGGUGUAGCGGUGAAAUGCAUAGAUAUCACGCAGAACUCCGAUUGCGAAGGCAGCAUACCGGCGCUCAACUGACGCUCAUGCACGAAAGUGUGGGUAUCGAACAGGAUUAGAUACCCGUGUAGUC
rnacentral:rRNA from 1 species